AUUUGUAUCAAGUCAAGCAUGGGCUUCAAGUUAAGAUGCAUUUCUGCAUACCGAGUUUCCUCACCAAGGCCACCUUCACAAAAGUGCUUUUCAUGACAGUGCUAUCGUCGUCCUUUAUCUCCCCACGACUGGCGCAAGUGCAGCGGAAACGGGCGGCACCUUGAGACGGCAAAGACAGGCGCUGUCGGAACCAGCGCUUCACAGCUCGCGGAGCAGAAGUGCGCCGUUUAUUCUCGCGAUGGGAGUGCGUGCUGAAAGAAGA